UGGAAGUGAUGAAAUAGAGAUAAUUGGAUGUCUCUCUGAAUGGAGUGUGUGUGUGAGAUAAAUAGAAUUUAAAGUCAGAUGGGGGUGGGAGAUGGAGAAUGUGUGUGCAUGUGCAUGUGUAGAAAUGGCUUUAAAUGGGGGCACUGAUAAUGCAGUGCUGAUUCCGGAGUGCAUCUGAGGCAUGUUGUUAAGUUCUAGGGUGCCACUUUGCAACAUUGCCAAUGAUUAAAGCCCAAAACAAGCCCACCAGGACAAGCCUAGGCAUCCUAAAUCUCUAACAGGUUCACUAAUGAAAGUGAUCCUGUGAUCUGAUCCAA
rfam:Cuculus canorus isolate BGI_N303 unplaced genomic scaffold scaffold537, whole genome shotgun sequence.